UAAACUAGCGGGCAGUGAAAUCUUUGCUUUGUGUGCUAAAGUCAACAGUCGCUCGGUUUGAGCUCAAAUAAAUGCAGGGAUGCCUCGGCUAGGAGCAGUCCGCCGCCUCCCUCCGAGCGCAGGACGCUCCGACGCCCGCCUGCCCGCAGGCCACCACAGGAACCCCAACGGUGCAGAACUGUGCCACCGCGCCUAGAAGACAGCCUGAGGCUCCUGGGCAGAUCCCGAAAGCAGAGAGCAUACAUGUGCUUCCAUCAACAUCCUGUGACUUCAUAAAUACACAUACAUCGACAGAGGUCCUUGUGUUCCUGAGCUGAUUGACAGCCGCUAAGAACCAUUUGAAAGGUGUGAAGGAGCGUUAAUAGGUUCAGGAGCAAAACAGUUCACUGCGCUGGGCUCCAGAAAAUACCCUGAAAUUUGAACUGAUGGUUGAGAUGAGGCAUGGAGAUUUCUGCAGAAAACCACAGUGCCUUUCAGAUCUACAGCCUCAAACACACAUCCAGCUUAGCAGAGAGUUGAAUAUCCUGUGCUGGGCUGUGAAUCGCCACCUCCUCCCAUCCCCCGCCCUCUCUCAGAGUUUCUGGAAAGAGGACCGACAUAUGUGUGAACGUCAUCAGUAUAGCCAUGUCUCUGACACAGCUGCUCUGGGACAGUGUGGGGUCGGCUGGGAAGCGACUGGCUGAUCAGCCGGGGAAGUACAGUAAAUGCUUUGUUAACGAGCACUGCUUAGAACAGAACAACUGUUUUCAUUUUUCCUUAAAAGAAACAUGUUCUCUCCUUGGCGACAUGUGCUCUUGUGUUCAGUAACAAGAGAGAAGAAAUGCAUUAAGGAUAUGCAGGUUCUGGGUUAUUUGUUUAUUUACUUUGAAGUGCUGAGGCUGGAAACCAGGCCUCCUAUAUCUAAGCACGUGCUGUAUUACCCAGCCACUCUCCUAGCCCACAUAGCUGUUACUAUUAAAUAAUAAAGACAUUGAAGAAUGUAAUAUAAUGUGAUAACAGCAGCCCUUCAUGGAUCAUGUGUAAAAAAUCAUUUUAGAAAUUAUGCAUUUAUGUAUUUCUAUGCUUUUUUCCUUCUUGAACAGCUUGUAGACUGUAAGAAUAGAUUGAAUUAUCAAGUGUCUCAUGUCUGAGCUCUAUUGUAUUCUACAGUGAGAUUACUCAGGAAUUCGGUAUGCUAUCAAAAUAAGAAUUUAUUUACCUUUCUAUUCUUUGGACGCAGGACCACUUGAAAGCCACCUCAGUACUGUGGAAAGAUCUAGGCAUCUUCUGGAUACAGGGUUUCUCUCUUCUGGCUCCAUUUCUAGAACUUACUGUCCUGAAUGAGUCCCACCCUGUCCUGAAGAAGUGUUGGUGUUGGCAUUUCCUAGAGCCAGUGAAAACCAUCUCUGGAAAGCAUCCCCAUUCGACUUCUAUGAAAGAGCCACAAGAUAGACAGAAGCCUCCAGCUCUGCAACUGUGAAAUGAAUUUUUCAUUGUUUUGAUCUCUUAUUUCUCCAUCAAACUCAUUGUGAAGGGAUUCGCUGAGACUUUGCUGUUAGGCAAGCCAUGUUUCAGCACUCUUGCUUGUGUUUGGAAUUGCUGCAAAGUUGAGUGCGCAUGUUCUGUGUUUGGGUUCUUUUUUUUUUUUUAAUACCAUGCACACUUGGGAAAGGAUGAAUAAGGCCAUUAUUUUGGACAAAAAAAAUAGUUUCACUUAAACCUAGGCAGACACAUCAUCAGACUAUUUCCCAGGUUCUAAAAGGGUCCAAAAAUUACACCAUACAAUCAGCUGGCUGUCUUGUCUCUGUCGCUUUAAUUCCAGCAAAGAGUUACAUACAAGCUCUCAGCAUGGCUACUUAGGUUCUCUUUUCUGUACUGAGCUCUGUAAGCCUCAGAACUACUAACACGUGGUUUCUUAAAAUUCCAGAACUGACAAAGUCAUCAGCCACUCUCUGCCCUUCCAUAUUUAAUUGAAUGUCUGCACUUAGACAUAUUUACUGGACUUCUGAGUGUCUAUGUUUCCUCCCCUGGAAAAUAGCAUCAAGAUAGAUUAGCUGUGGUUACCAACAAUACCUUUAAAAAAAUUCAGUUCUUCCUGUUUUGAAAAUACUUGUUUCAUAAGCAUGGAUUGUGUUGCAACUCCGGGUCAGGGUUCUGAUCAGACACGGAGCAUUGUUUCAGCCAAAGAUAGUUAUUAUAUUACUUAGCAGUGACAGUGUCCAGCUUGAGCAAAUUGCACUGUGGAAAUAGGAAUCCCCUGUUCGUUCUAGUACAUUUUUUUAAAAUAGAGACCAGGGGGAUAUAAAACCCCUCUUUGAUUUUCUGUAGACUAAGUGAAACUCAUGUGUUUGUUUUUUGCUUGUUCUUUUUGGUGCCAUUUUAAUUAGCUAAUUAAAGCAUUGAUAAAAAUCUAUCUGGGUGAAUUAGGGUAGGAAGGAUCAUUUCUGUAGUGAGGAUACAGGGAGCCUCACACAAGACAUCAGAAGGACUCUCCCUUUUUCCUUUUUCAUACAAUUCUACCAGGAACAGGGGUACUUUUCUUUGUUGUUUGUUUGUUUGGUUUGGUUUUUCUGGGUAGCCCCGACUGCCCUGGAACUCACUCUGUAAAUGAUAGCAAGGUUGGCUUUGAACUCAGAGAUCCUUAUGUCUCUGCCUCCCAAGUGCUGGAAUCAAAAGUCUCUGUCUCUGUCUCUGUCUCUGUGUCUCUGUCUCUGUCUCUGUCUCUCUCUCUCUCUCUCUCUCUCUCUCUCUCUCUCUCUCUCUCUCUCUCUGUGGGGGGAGAUCUCACUCUGUAGCCUGGUCUAGCCUCUAGUUUGUGAUCCUCCUCCCUCAGCUGCUAGAGUGUUGGAGUUACUCUUGUCGCUCUCGCCCCAGUCCCUUCUCCGCAGGCUGCACUCUUGUUUUCUCUAGAUUUGCUCAUUCACAGCUACUGGAACAAAAAGAUGAGCCAGAGGAAGGACACUGGCAGGGCUGUUUGCCUAAGAGCACCAUGGGACUUAGGAAGAACAGAAGCUUCUCCCCAUGCUGAACUUUGACCCUCACAAGAAUGUCCCCAAAAAGGCCAUCAUGACACUACAGUCAGAUAGCCCUGCGUACUCUCCCAAGUGUUGAGUGCAUCUAACUGGAGGAAUGGGACAAAAUGAGGGUGGCUCAGAGCCAAGUGGUGGUGGGCCUGCCCCAGGUGGGUGCCGUGCUGAACGCAAAUGCAGACACAAGGGAGCGUCGGCCAUGAGAAUUGUCAGUGGAAAGAUCUUAAAACAGAAAGUGUCCAUUUGACCUCCUUGCAGAACUGAAGUUAUCCAAGUUAUUUAAUCUCCCCCAGAGUUACCAAAUCUUAUGAGAAAUUAACAAUGAGGAGAGAGAGAGAGAGAGAGAGAGAGAGAGAGAGAGAGAGAGAGAGACUCAUUGUUAGAAAUCUUUAACAUCUGACCCAAGGUCUGACCUGAGAUAGGAGUCCUCUUCCAUGGCCAGGAAGUGUCUACCAGCUCAAGAGCGAUUCUGUGAUGGGAGGUGCCUGCUUACCCACACCAGGGGAACCUUUCUCUGUUGGUUUGACCAAUGUUGCACGUUAAUUUAUACUUCUCAAAAAGGUGAAUAGGGACAAGCAUAGAAAAAGCUCCUGCAGGACUCUCUUGGGAGGGUAGGGCAGGCUGGCCAUUUUUGAAGCUUUUGCUCCUCAACCCAGGAGGAUUUACCAAAAAAACCCAACCCCACUCAGCAUCUAUCAACAUCUAUUGAGUAGUUGGGGAACAAGGUGAUGCUUUUCUGCCUUGCCAGUGCGGAGAGACUUUUUCUGUUCCUCAUUCCCAGGUGAAGAACAUACAAAAUGAAACCCAACCUGCUUAAAAUAAAACACACCAACCCCAGCAUGCAGUCUGCCACCUCCCCUUCCUUUACAAGCUGGAGUGCUUGCUAAGUGAAGGUUUAUAUGUGUGAAUUUUCAGGGUGCUUUGUUCCUGUGGAGAGGAUUCCAGAGGCCCUUGAAGUCCUCAGUCUUAAUAGGGGAAGUCUUUCCCCCAACCCCCGCCCGUCUUGGGGAGGUUUGGUUGGAAGAAAACUGACCCUGAGUGCACUCUGGGCAAACUAGGGUGAAAGACCUGAUAUGGUCUGCAGGGUACUUAUUAACCACCGUUCAUUUGCAGGAUCGAUACUUCUGGCAAAGGAGUCAACACUGAAGAUAUACCACGUUGUCUGGCUCUUUCCUUGACACAACAAUUUAUUUAAUAAAUGCAUCUCCUGCAGAAGAAGGCACCAGGCACUGUGUCUUUUAUCUGCAGGAUAUGCAAAGCACAUUUAUUCAGCUUUUAUCUCUGGAAUUGUAUGCUGAUCCCAUACAUAUAGAUUGAUUUUGUUCAGGUAGAUAAUGAAAAGUCAAGUGGAAAAUUACACAAUGGCACUCACGAUCCUGGUCUUAUAUCGGUAUAUAAAUUGGUUUAUUACUUCAUUCUAUUAAAGGGGCUGCCCCCCUCCCAGGAAAACUUGAAAACGCACUGUAUUGUCUGACUGCCUGGAUUUUCUUGGGAGAAGAAGGUUGAACGGAGAGAGAAGGCACGAUAAUUUUCAUUUUUUGUUCCCGUUCUUUUGGUUAAUUGUGCAAGAUAAGUAAGCAGCACCCAAGGGUGUCCUGGGAACUGUCUGCUUCCCGAAGCCCACUUCAGAGUCAAGCCGGGACCUCUGCGAUUUAGACUAUUAGGAACGAGAACAAAUCUGCCCCUCAUGAGCAUCCUGUUACAGAGGUGUCUAUUUUUACCAAAGACAAUUUAUAAUUUUGUCCUGGUGACUGAAGGUGGCAACUCCCUUUGGAGUGUGGGGAGGCCAGGGGUGAGAGGGUGGCAGCAUCGAGAGGCCUCCAUCCAGGGACAGCUCUGAGCUGGAAUCCUGGAGGAAACGUUAUUAAUAAACAUCUUCUGGACAUUUGGCAGCCCUUAGAGCUUGCUCCAGCUUAAAGCAAUUAAUUCAGGACACCGACAUCAACUCUCCAGGUCUUUGACAGCUUGGAGCCGAAAUAAAAAUGCUAGUUCUCCGGGGAAGAGGGGAGGAGGGCCCGCUCUUUGCUGGACUGUUUGCUUAUGGGCCCAGCGAGCAACCUUCCCUGCACAAUGAAAUGCAGGGUCGCACACAACCAACCGGCAGAGAAUAGAAGAUGGGAACGGACAGUUUGAACUAUUUGCUCAGCAGAAGGGCACCACAAUGCUGGGGUAGUGGCUUUCCCAUGCAUCCACUGUCCCUUCUUUGGGAUCUUUUGUUGUCCCUGUCUCCUUUGGCCAGAUAAGAACACAGCUGCAGCCUUGCAGCUAAGUAAGGCUUCACUUAUCCCCUUAAAUCUCGGGGUGUCUUUACUGUACCAGGCAUAGACCAGCUUUUUUCUUUUUUGACCAGAGGACUGGGAGGGAGGGAAGGAAUGAAGAAUUGAGGGGGAGGGGACAGAGAGAGGACUCUCACAUUGCCCAUGUCUGGUUUAUGCCUCUCUUUCUCUCCUUUUUAAACCCAAGCUGGGAUAAGAUGCAAUCUUUGUGGGCCAGUUUUAUUGAACGGUCAGUUUUGUGUGCCAAAAAAGGCUGCCUUCUAGGGGAGGGUUGUUUGUGUAUGCUGUGUAGGGAAGACUAGUUUUGAAGCUGCUUUAGGGCAUUUUCGGAUUCCUUCAGCAGCUAAAAAGAGGGCAGAAUUCGAAGGAGUCGAUUUUAAAAAUUGGUCAAUUAUAAUUCUCUGUUUCUGAAAAUCAUUUCGGGCUCUUCUUCCUACAGUUCAUUUGUUCCAAACUGUAUAAUGCUAGUUAUGUGUUAUUAAGAACAGGAUGACCUGGAGAUGGGGGAAAAACGUGCAUUUGUAUUUGCUGUAAAUUGCACUUAAGUAUCAGUACCAUUGCUCUCCCACACUCAUCCUCACAGGCCUGGAGAGAUGGCUCAGUGGUUAAGAGCAUUGGCUGCUUUUCCAGAGAACCUGGGUUCAAUUCCCAUCACCUACAUGGCAGCUCAUAACUCUCUGUAACUUCAGUCCCAGAGGCUCUGGCACCCUCAUACAGACAUACAUACAUGCAAGCAAAACACCAAGGCACAUAAGAUAAGAAUAAAUAAAUCA